rnacentral:lncRNA from 1 species
CCACUUUUAAUACUGCUUCCGGUGACACCGUCAGGAAGAAUCCUGCUAUGUAAUAGACUUUGGCUUUUUCCACCAACUUCCAGUUCUUCUCCAAAUCAAGAUGCUUUUCCUUCUUGUAGCAAUUAGCAGCAGCAAGGUUAGCUACAAGUGACCUGUUAUCACUAGUGAUGCAGGCAGCGCAGGUUCCUGUUGGUUCUUCACUCUGCUCGUAGUAAUGGGCAUCCACAUGAGCUUCCUCAGCCUUCUUCUUUAAUAUUUCUCCAAAUUUAUCCUUGCCAAUGCACCCAAAGAAAGUUGCAGCUUUGUAUGGAUUCUGAAUCAUCCACUGGGCCACUUUGACAGAGUUUUGAGUAGAGCCACCAGCAUGAUAUUCUACUUUGAACUUUUUCACAAGUUCUUCAAAUAGUUCUUUGUGCUUCUCCUCCGCCAGAAUUUGGUCAUUUGGUUUCAGCCCAUACUUGUCAAGGAAGUCCUUGUCCACAACUGCACAUAUAUCAAGCAGAGGAUUUCCCAUUCCAAACAGGACAUUUUCACUGAGGGUCGGCAUGGCUCCCGCCCGGCCGACGCGGAACCCCGCUCUGCCGCGGCGUCGUCGUCUCUUAGUCCGGUGCCCGCCGACAGUUGCAACGCGCUCACCGCCUCGCUCGGCCGUGACUG